rnacentral:rRNA from 1 species
ACGAACGCUGGCGGCGUGCUUAACACAUGCAAGUCGAACGGAAAGGCCCUGCUUGCAGGGUAAUCGAGUGGCGAACGGGUGAGUAACACGUGGGUGAUCUGCCCUGCACUUCGGGAUAAGCCUGGGAAACUGGGUCUAAUACCGGAUAGGAGCCAUUUUUAGUGUGAUGGUUGGAAAGUUUUUUCGGUGUAGGAUGAGCUCGCGGCCUAUCAGCUUGUUGGUGGGGUAAUGGCCUACCAAGGCGGCGACGGGUAGCCGGCCUGAGAGGGUGGACGGCCACAUUGGGACUGAGAUACGGCCCAGACUCCUACGGGAGGCAGCAGUGGGGAAUAUUGCACAAUGGGCGCAAGCCUGAUGCAGCGACGCCGCGUGGGGGAUGACGGCCUUCGGGUUGUAAACUCCUUUCGCUAGGGACGAAGCUUUUGUGACGGUACCUAGAUAAGAAGCACCGGCUAACUACGUG